AUACGUAGGUGGCAAGCGUUGUCCGGAAUUAUUGGGCGUAAAGCGCGCGCAGGCGGUCCUUUAAGUCUGAUGUGAAAGCCCACGGCUCAACCGCGGCGGGUCAUUGGAAACUGGGGGACUUGAGUGCAGAACAGGAAAGUGGAAUUCCAAGUGUAGAGGUGAAAGGCGUAGAGAUUUGGAGGAACACCAGUGGCGAAGGCGACUUUCUGGUCUGUAACUGACGCUGAGGCGCGAAAGCGUGGGGAGCAAACAGGAUUAGAUACCCUGGUAGUCCACGCCGUAAACGAUGAGUGCUAAGUGUUAGGGGGUUUCCGCCCCUUAGUGCUGCAGCUAACGCAUUAAGCACUCCGCCUGGGGAGUACGGUCGCAAGACUGAAACUCAAAUGAAUUGACGGGG
rnacentral:rRNA from 1 species